GGAAAGAACAACGGUCCUCAGGCUCCC
rnacentral:piRNA from 1 species